AGUGAACGCUGGCGGUAGGCCUAACACAUGCAAGUCGAACGGUAGCACAGUAAGAGUUGCCUUUUACGUGACGCGAGUCGCAGGCGGGUGAGGAAUCCAUCGGACUCCACUUUUUCGUGGGGUAACAACUAGGAACACUAACGCAUACACCGUAUACUACCAACGGCAGAAAGCGGGGGCCUCUGGCCCCUUGCCCGCUUGUAUGACCAGAUGUGGGAUUAGUUAGUUGGCGGGGUAAAGGCCCACCAAGGCGACGAUCCGUAGCUGGUCUGAGAGGAUGAUCAGCCACACUGGAACUGAGACACGGUCCAGACUCCUACGGGAGGCAGCAGUGGGGAAUAUUGGACAAUGGGCGCAAGCCUGAUGCAGCCAUACCGCGUGGGUGAAGAAGGCCUUCGGGUUGUAAAGUCCUUUUGUUGGGGAAGAAGAGCAGCAGGUUAAUACCCCGCUGUACUGACGGUACCCAAAGAAUAAGCACCGGCUAACUUCGUG
rnacentral:rRNA from 1 species